UUUUCCGUGCUUCGAUGCCUUUUCUCUCUCCUGUCGAAAUAGUAAAAUGUCCAAAAGGUCCAAAACUGCUUUUCUCUUCCAAUUUGCCUUUUAUAAAAGAGCGUUGAUAGUACAGAAAAGGAGAGGAUGAGACUUGAGAAAGGGGGAGGAAGAGCGAAAGGGAAAGUGAGCAACGGAAAUUCAUCGGAGUGAGAGGGUUGGAAAGGAUAGCUGUUUCUAGAUCUAUUCUUUCCCAACCCUCCCAUUCCACUGGUUUCCUGUUGCUACAAAUAUUGCUCUUUGAUUCUUUUUCAAUAGAAAUAUGCUGCUUCUUUGGAGAAGGAAGUGAAAUCGAAGCAGGAAGAGGGAUAGGGUGAGAUGGCUGCUGGAUGUUAUGGGUAUGGGAGAAUUGGGCAGGAUACCUCAGAUGAGAAUAUAUUCUUUCCAAUACCUCCCAUACCAGUGAUUUCCAGCUGUUCCUGCCCUUCCCUUCUUUUGUCCUGCCCUGAUCCAUGCUAUUGCGAUCUGGGACCAGGAUUCCUGUAAUUGGGUUUUUUUUUUUGUUUUUUUGGGGGCAGUGAUUUGAGAGAGAGGAUUUCUCUCCGGAGCAGGGAGCCCAAUUGAGUGGGCCGCUCGGCUCGGGCAGAGAAGCCCCGUCAAUGUGGGUUGAUAGCCUGUUUAUUGAGGGGACAAUAUAUUGGUCUUUAAAAUCCUCUUUACACGUAAUUGACUUUCCAAUAAAAAAAUGAAAGAAAUUGGAGUGUUUAAAUUCUGAAUAACGUUUGUUAAUUGUUAUUAUGUAAAACAGUUUUUAGUAUUGAAAGGGGUUUAUUUGCGUUUCAAAAACUUAAUCAACUGAAAAAAAAUAUUUGGUUAAUCAUAAGACAAUUCAAGUUUUUAAUUUAUGUUUUCUGAAAGCAUAAACUAAUUUCCCAAGUGCAGAAUAGUCUUUUGACUAUACUCUUAUCUUCCCCUCAUCCACCCUCAUCAGCCAAUGUGCACAACCUUAGAACCUUGUUGAAGAGCUGAUAAAGGAAGGCUUUCGAAAGAUUGUCGAACAUAGAAAGCCUCGCUAGAUGAGCACCGCAAAGACGUGACCAUGGUCGCCAUUUGAUGGUGCUUCAGGUUCUUUGAUGGUGCUUCAGGUUCUGUGUUCAGUGGCAACAUGGGCAUAGGCGCUGGAGUUAUUGAAGGCGGAGCCAAGAUUUUGGUUGGUGAAAAAGAUUAAAAGAUAGAUUUUAAAAAAUAUAUAUUAAAAAUAUUAAAUAAUUAUAACCAACUAAAUAAAUAAAGGAGUCAAUGAAAUUGCACUUAUAUAUUUUAUACAAGAUUGAAAGAUCUAUUAGGAGAUUCGCUAAAUUUACAUAAAUAUAAGUUGACAUUGACACUGGUUUGUUUAGAAUUCUAUUUGUACUUGGUAAAAUUAUUAAACACAAGAUGUGUUUGGUCUCAUUUGCGUGGAAAAGUAUGUUUUUUGGUCAUUUGCGUGUACUAACAAUAAUUUUGAAAGUAACGACUUCAUAUAAUCUUCAAAAAUGAGUCAUAUGGCACCCCUUUUUGGGGUUACCAUAUUCUCAUAGUGAUAUCAAAUUAUCAAUGCUCUAGAAUGGUUCUUUGUCGUUUUUCAAGCUCCCUGAGGGCAUGCUUCUCUAGUCAAUUACUCAAUCACUGGCAAUUGGCAAUAAAUACAAAAUAGGAUGCUAUCUCGCUAUAUGUCUAUAUCCACAAUGAUCAACCUUAGUAGAGACAAUAUUUCAUGUCUACAUGGAAUUAAAUAGCCGAACAUCCUGCUACAACCCAAGAAUUAGCAAGGAAUUAGCAAGGAAGGACAUGAAUCAUGCAUUUGGUGCGCUUCAAGCACAAUUCGUGCGGACCAAUGCACGAAGAGUAGUGCAGAUAUUAGGUUUGGUACCUGGAGUUGGGUUUGAUGAUUUCCUGUUUAUGUAUUUUUGUUUACAGCAUAUAAAGGUGAUGUUUCUAACUGCAUAUAUAAAGUUGCUGCGAAUCAUCGAUCUCCCAAAGCCCAUCAUCAUGAUUUUAAUUUAACUAAAUACUUAAGAUUGCUUACUAUA